rnacentral:rRNA from 1 species
CCCUUAGAUGUUCUGGGCCGCACGCGCGCUACACUGAUGCAUUCAACGAGUUUCUUCCUGGUCCGAGAGGAAUGGGUAACCUUUUGAAAGUGCAUCGUGAUAGGGAUAGACUAUUGCAAUUAUUGGUCUUCAACGAGGAAUUCCUAGUAGACGUAGUUCAUCAGACUGCAUCGAUUACGUCCCUGCCCUUUGUACACACCCCCCGUCGCUCCUACCGAUUGAAUGCUCAGGUGAGCCAUUCGGACUUUCAUCAUGCUGGUUUCCAGUUUUGAUGAAGGAAAGUCUUGCGAACCUUAUCAUUUAGAGGAAGGAGAAGUCGUAACA